rnacentral:lncRNA from 10 species
CCCGGAAGCAUGCCAACAUGGAAAACUCCAACUCCAAAGACUCACACCUCAUAAAUGUGUCCUUCUUGACUGGUUGAACGUGCCAAUUUGGAGAGCAAGGUUGUCACCGUGGCAGUAGAUCUUCUUUCUAAUCAUAAAUACCAAGUGCAUUUAGCACCAUGCAGAACUCCAGAAGAGAAUGUCAAUGGAUUCCCUUUGCUGUAUCCUUAACAUGAAUUUCUGCACACACACACACACACACACACACACACACACACACGAACACUCCAAAUUUCCACAGAUGUGAAGUUAGGCAAAAAUGGAGGCCCAGGUCAGCCUGAGGGGAGGGUGUGGUCACGUGGGGAGGAUCUAGAAUGCCUGCCUUUGGUGUUGCUAGCAGAUUUACAGGAGUCUUAUUUGUUCUUUCUUUUUUUCUGAAGCACCAGGUGGCAAAGCCAAUUUCUUUCUCUUGAGGGCUGUCUUGUGAGUAACUGCCCAUCUGCCAGCAACAAAAAGGAGGAGGCCUCAGGCCGUGCUCCACACUCACCUCCUCAUGCUGCCCCAACAAAGACAGUUCAUCCCUGGCCUGCAACAGGUCCCUCUUGAGAUUGGUGUGAACUCCUCAGGCUGAUCAGAACAUAUUUCAGCUGAUGUUGGAUUUGCUAUGAUUGUAUCACACUGACUAAAGUGUCUGGUAGACGUAGACUGCGCAAGAAGAAAAUAGACUUAGAGAUCACAACGGCUUAAGAAUAAAGAAAUGACGAGAUUGCUGGGUCUAAUGGUAGUUCAGCUUUUAGCUCUCUGAGAACCUCCAUACUGCUUUCCACAAUGGUCGAAUUAUUUACACUCCCACAAACAGUAUAUACUCAGAUGAAUAUAAAUCAUUUUACCAUAAAGACACAUGCAUGCUAAUGUCCAUUGCAGCACCAUUCACAAUGAUAAGACAUGGAAUCAACCUAAAUGCCCAUCAAUGACAAAUUAGAUAAAGAAAAUGUGGUACAUAUACACCAUGGAAUACUAUGCAGCCACAAAAAAGAACAAGAUCAUGUCUUCUGUGGAAACUUGGAUGGAGCUGGAGGCCAUUAUCCUUAGCAAACUAAUGCAGAAACAGAAAACCAAAUAC